CACAACGUGAUGCCUUGAGGAGUCGUCUGUAAUUUAGUAUAAUUGGAGCUUGAGGUGUGCGUCGAUGAUUUGGUACUGAGGAAGUGAAGACGUGACCAGGCUUAGGUCAGAGCACUGAGAGGACUGCGGUCAGUCAUGCAGUAACUUAGUUGUGAGACAGCGUGGCUCACUGGACACUGCCCUGUGUCGACCCAAGGACGGGCUAUUGGAGAAUGUGGGUUAUUCUCUCGUUCAAAUCUUGCUGUUGGCCGUGUGUUAAAGGAUGCACGGAAAUGAGUUAGCAGCCAACGGCGACCGGUUGCCAAGUGGACGAGUAGGGCCGAGUGGUGUCAGCGUGAGGGCAGUGUAGCUGAUCGUGUGGAAAGUGGGGUGCCAACUCCACUGGUUCUAAUUACAAGUCUGAUUGUAGUGCCGGACUGGAGCAACAAAUAUGCCCAUUGGAUCAAGAGUGUGUAGUGCACUGAUGUGAGUAAUGUUAACUGGAAAUAUAAAUAAGGAUUGAGACAAAAUGGUAUAUUAUGUUCCUUGUUACGUGGCACGGAUUGCUACAAUCUCCGGCUACUCCUAGUUACGAGUAGAUGCCUGCCUUUCAGUGUGGUCAACGCCAGGACACACCAGGUUUCCUUUAACAUUCUCUCUCUCUCUCUCUCUCUCUCUCUCUCUCUCUCUCUCUCUCUCUCUCUCUCUCUCUCUCUCUGUAAAACAAUAUAAAAA